CAUUCACCCUUUUCAGUGGCGGAAUUCGACGUGAAGAGAGGUCGCUUCAGCGAAUUACCCAGCAUGCCCCAGGCCAAGAGCGUCUUCGCGGCCGCCGUCCUUGAAGGCUGCAUCUAUACCAUCGGAGGCUUCGAUGGAACUACCACCGUGACGAGCGUUGAGAGGUACGACAUCGCCGCCGGCAAAUGGUACACGGCUCCCCCGAUCAGCACCAAGUGCAGCGCGCACGCUGCGUGCGUCGUUAAGAACGUCGCUAACCCUGCCACAUGGACAUAGGCAUCCACCACUUAUCGCAUGUGCGGUGCGGAGCGCUGUGAUGGACACUUUCAUCCCCGAGCCUGGCGUUUACCUUCGUAGCAACGGCAGGCAUGUCUGGUCGAGGGGCCACUAGCGAACGGAACAACGGCGCAAGCAAUCUGGCGUAUAAAAUAAGCGAAGAAAAAAAUUCCACGUACAAUCUCCUCUGGGAUUUAAAUAAAUGAGGCGUCAAUGCCACGAACUGAAUGUUAGUUGCGUGAAAGACCGCGAAGGAACCGUGAAACGGAGAAGCAUAGUUGCAACACCCGGGUGUUUACAGCACAAAAUGACG
rnacentral:lncRNA from 1 species